rnacentral:rRNA from 1 species
AUGAUGGGAAUAACUAAGCAUAAAUUUGGAAAUGAGCACGAAAUGUCUAUAAAUGAAUUUUCUCAUUAUUCGUUAUUUCCGGGUCUUUUCGUUGCAUUCACUUACAACAAGAAACAACCACCAGCGUUUGGUGCAGCACUUGCAUUUUGGUGCAUUCUUCUUCCUUUCCUUGGUCUUUCGUUCCGUCAUAUUCCAAAUAACUUAUCUAAUUACAACGUAUUAACCGCUAAUGCACCUUUUUUUUAUCAAAUCUCAGGGACAUGGUCUAAUCAUGAGGGUAGUAUUUUAUCAUGGUGUUGGAUCCCAAGUUUUUAUGGAUUCCUUUUUUGUUACUGGGGUCGACCCCAAAGCCAUAAUGUCUCAAAACGAAGAGGCUAUAGAGAAACUUUGAUUUUUUCCUUUGUCUCGAACUUCGUGAAGAACUCCAUUCUAUCUCUCCAACAAAAAAGUUGGGCUGCGCCCCAGUUGUACACUCCCUUCGUUCGGAGAACCCUUGUUGAUUCUGAACUUCGUUCGCAAAGUUGA